rnacentral:rRNA from 1 species
AUUGAACGCUGGCGGCGUGCUUAACACAUGCAAGUCGAUCGGUAACAGGCGUAGCAAUACAUGCUGACGAGAGGCGGACGGGUGAGUAAUGCUUGGGAAUCUGCCUAUUAGUGGGGGACAACCCGGGGAAACUCGGGCUAAUACCGCAUACGCUCUACGGAGGAAAGCCGGGGACCGCAAGGCCUGGCGCUAAUAGAUGAGCCCAAGUCGGAUUAGCUAGUUGGUAGGGUAACGGCUACCAAGGCGACAAUCCGUAGCUGGUCUGAGAGGACGACCAGCCACACCGGAACUGAGACACGGUCCGGACUCCUACGGGAGGCAGCAGUGGGGAA